rnacentral:rRNA from 1 species
GAUGAACGCUAGCGGGAGGCCUAACACAUGCCAGCCGAGCGGUAGAGUCUCUUCGGAGACUUGAGAGCGGCGCACGGGUGCGGAACACGUGUGCAACCUGCCUUUAUCUGGGGGAUAGCCUUUCGAAGGGAAGAUUAAUACCCCAUAAUAUACUGGAUGGCAUCAUCUGGUAUUGAAAACUCCGGUGGAUAGAGAUGGGCACGCGCAAGAUUAGAUAGUUGGUGAGGUAACGGCUCACCAAGUCAGCGAUCUUUAGGGGGCCUGAGAGGGUGAUCCCCCACACUGGUACUGAGACACGGACCAGACUCCUGCGGGAGGCAGCAGUGAGGAAUAUUGGACAAUGGGUGAGAGCCUGAUCCAGCCAUCCCGCGUGAAGGACGACGGCCCUAUGGGUUGUAAACUUCUUUUGUAUAGGGAUAAACCUAGAUACGUGUAUCUAGCUGAAGGUACUAUACGAAUAAGCACCGGCUAACUCCGUG